AAUCAGAAACAGCUGGACGAUUUUCCCGCACCAGAGCCCAGGGUGGGAGUCCUGCUGAAAGAGUGGAAGCCCUGGAUGGAGCAUUUUCUCUCCGACGCGCCUUUCCACCCUUCCUGCUCUCCGCUGCCCCCCACCCAGCCCCGCAGUCCGCUGAGGGCGUGAGUAUUGGGAAGUAAACCCAGGGGUGCUGUACCACUGAUCUACACCACCAGCCCUCCAGUUUUCACUCUGAGACAAGGUCUCUCUGAGCUGCCCAGACUGGCCUGCAACCUGCAAUCUCCUGCCUCAGCCUCCCAAACAGCUGGGACUACAGGCUCACAGCAAAACAAACACUGGCAUGUGGUAGAGAAGAGCAGAAGCGCUUUUACAUCCCUCCAAGUAAGUAAGUCACCUGCAGUGUCACAGAAGGACUGAUUUGAUUCUUCUUAAAGUGUAAUGUUCAUUUCUCUCAUUUGCCUAUAGAAAUUUAAAGCGUGUGAAGAAGGGCAACAGGUAGGAGGAGACAUUUAUGGGUAAUGUUCUCUUUCUUUCUCCACCUGCUUUUUACAUGUUCCUAAACCUUUGGAUUACCAGAGAUUACCUACAGAUUACGAGAGAAUGUUCUAGAGUGCUGUGGCAUGAGAGCUCCGUCUUAUACCAGCCCCAAACCUUGCCGAAGCCACCCACUGGGGCCUGUCUCAAACAGGACUGGACUCUUUUUUUUGUACUGGGGAUCAAACUCGGGUCCUUGUGCUUGUGAGGCAGGCGGUGAAACCACUGAGCUAAAUCCCCGGCCCCAGGACUGAGCUCUUGAGGGCUUUGUGUACCUGUCUUUGAUCUCAUCUUCAAAUCAAGGCAAGGCAACUGAGUCAUAAAGCAAACACAGGGAGAUAAUACUUUCAAGAGAGAAGACAUGUUUGCUGCUGGGCGUGGUGACACAGGCCUGUUAUCCCAGUUUCUUGGGUAGUGGAGAUGGAGGAUCAGAGUUCAAGACCAGCUUGUACAAGUAGGUAAGAACUUGUCUCAGGAAAAAACCAAAAACACCUCCUCCAAGAAAACCUUAAACAAAACCACAUUCAGGCAUGGUAGCCUGAGUCUAUAAUCCCAGCUACUCAGGAGGCUGAAGCAGGAGGAUCACAAGUAUUCAAGGCCAACCUGGGCCAACUUAGCAAGACCUAGUCAUGAUAUGAGAAUAUAUAUGAGAAUAGGAACGUUCUGGGGAUGUAACUCUGUGUUAGAGUAUCUGUGGGUUUAAUACGCAGUACCAAAAAAAACCCCCAAACCCCCAAAUUUCUACUUACUUAAAUAUUGGUGUUUUGGUGAGAUUAGGUUUUGCUAUUAUAGCCCAGGUUGGCCUCAAACUCAUAACCUUCCUGCCUUAGCCUCCUGAGUGCUGGGAUUACAGAGAUGUGCCACUAGGCCUAUGCCAAUCAGGUCAGUUUCAGUGGCAUAAUUUCUCAUUUAAUCCUUCCAAAGAGUGACCUGAAGUUAAUCCAUUAUCUUCCUAUUAUUCCGUCUCCCUGUCCCUGCCUUACAAGGAGAGUGACUUUGAAAUGAUCAAAACACUUGUUAUUUGUCCUCUGCUCAGCCCCUUGGAAUCAUUUAUUCACUUUUAUGGAAUGAAGUGUUGCCUGCCUCUGGAAUUGCAAAUGAAGCCAACUAAAUGUGUUGUAAUUUUGUCUUUUAACAGUGUUAAACUGAAACUCCUAAGACUGGGAGAUUAAAAUAAAAGGAUUUAUCGAACCAUUAUGAAAACAAAGGACCAGGUUCCAAGACAUGUUCCUGCAACUAGCAGCAGCAGGGUUGGGUAGCAGUUGGAAAAUGUCCAACUGGACCUAGAGUGAUGAAUAUUUCUAUAAACUUUGGGGAAGGAAGGCACUGUUUAUAUAGAACCUACACGGGCUGUGUCUAACAGGGGCAGGACUAUGUGAAAUGGGGAAAGCUCUGGGAUUGGAAUGUAGUACAUAAGAAGUAACUCACUUCAGGACUGGCUGGGGUCAAUGGUCCCAAAAGCUAGUCUGUCACUUACUAAGGCUUCUUGUACAAACCUCUUUUCCUUGUCUACCUCAUCACUACACUGGGAAUAAUAUGCCUCACAGUGCGUUUGUGAGGGUGAGUAACAUAGUAUGCAUGUGAAAUCAUUAGCAUGGUGCUAAUACCCAGGUAAGCACUCUUGACUCUUGAGUAUCAUUGGCAUUCAGGCAUACCAGUUUCAGAUGCUUAAGACAUCUCCUUAGGUCACAGGCAAAUAAACUGUGGAAAAACAAAUGAAGUCUCUGAAACAGUAUCAAAAUGUGACCUGGUUGUGGUGGUACACGCCUGUAAUCCUGGUACUCUGGGAGGCGGAGACAGGAGGAUUUCAAGUUUGAGCUUAGCUUAGGCAAUUUAGCAACUUAGCAAGAUCUUGUCUCAAAAUAAAACAGAAAGGGCUGGGAUGUAGUAGUUCAUUGUGAAGGCCCAGGGUUCAACCCCCAGUACUGACUUCCCCCCCUCCCAAGUACUCCUGUGGAACAAAUGCUCAUUGCCCACUUCUGACUCACCAUGAAAACAUCUUUUUUUUCCUUUGUGAUGCUGUGGAUGGAGGGCCUUGCAUGUGCCAGGCAAGCACUCACUAGCUGCAUCCCAACCCCACACAUUCUAUUUUUGCUUUUUGAGAAGAGUUUCACUAUGCAGCCUAGGCUAACCUGAACUGUUUCCUGGCUUUAGUCUCCCAGGUGCUGGGAUUAUAGGUAUAUGCCACCACACCCAGCUCACACAUAGUAUUUUGCAGCCAGCAUUUUAAGACAUUUGAAAUUCUGUCAAGGAUGCUGCACCAGAAGCACCCUUUAUAAUUCUCUCCAUGCGUCUCUCUCUUAGCUUUGGGACAGCACUGAGUCUGUCGUGGGAAAGUGGAUAUAGCUAGUGUUUAUUGAAAUGAUCAUUAACUGGCUUAAAUGCUAGAAAUUUAAGAUAUGUAAACAGUCAUACUGUUUGAACAUCAAAGGACUUUCAAGUGCUUCUAAGUGGCUACAACUGGCAUUGCAAACACAGCCGCAAUGCACUAGACUAGGAAACAUGAGACACAGUUAUUUGUGAAAUGAGAGAGGACAAGAUCAAACAUCUUUUUUGAGACAGGGUCACCUUAUGUAGUCCAGGCUGCCCUUGAACUCACUGUGUAGUCCAAGAUGGUUUUGAACUGGAAGUGAUCCCCCUGCAUCAGCCUCCAAGUGCUGGGAUUAUAGGUGUGCGCCAUCAUUCCUGCCAUGAUCAGGGAUUCUUAAAGCGGAGUAUAUGAGUCAUAGAUGGCUUCAGGUCUUUGGUUUCUGUGAGGCCAUAAAUUAAAUUUUGCAUAUAGGCAUAUUUUUCUGGCAGAAUAGCUUUACUAAGAUUUUUAAAAGUCCAGAAUUCCUCUUACAGUCAUGAUAUAUCAACUUGGCUGGAUUAAGGAAUGCCCAGGGGAUUAGGAAAACAUACUUCUGGGUGUAUGUGGGUUGGUUUUGGUUAUGGAUGCCUGACUUUGGGGGUCUAUUUGUGGUUUCGCACCUGUUCCUCUCGGGCACUGUUCAGGGCCCUGCUCUGCUUCCCAGCCACCAUGAACUUAAGCUUCUUUGCUCUGCCACACCCUUCUGCUAUGAUGUUUCUGCCUUAGAACCAGGAGACCAUGAACUGAAUCACUUGAAACUGAGAGCCAAAUUAAACUUGUCCUUAAAUUGCUGGCAUUGGGUAUUAUAUCUCAGCGAUGGGAAAGCUAAUAGAAUUUCCAUGUUUUUAAAAAAUUACAGACUAUAUUAUUAUGAAUACAGUUCCAAACAAAA